GGCUGAUUGCCUGGGUUAAGAGACGCCCAGAUGCAUGGUUUCUGGGAAUGUCUGCAGAGGUUUCUCCAGGAGAGACUGGCAUUGGAAUCAGUGCACUGGGAAAGGUCUGCCUCACCCAACGGACAGCCCCAUUCAGCCAGCUGAGGGCUGGGAGGGAGCUGAGAGGCGGAGAAAGGGUCUCCAGCCUACCACAGCCGCCCAGGACUGCUCAGCCUGCACAGUGCUCAAGCCGAUUCCCUGACAGGUCCCUUCUCACAUCGCUGCAGCAGAUCCUACAGAAACACCUCGGCUGGUCACAAAGCACAAGGAGAAAAUAGGAUUAAAAUCAUCAGGAUAAAAGCAAAAACAGACGUUCUGCAACAUGCUCAGCCAUGCUGAUCUGGCUGACCCUUGUGGUCUCCUUGGCCGGUUGCUGUGCGAUACGACAUAGAACACGCAGGGUCUCCCCUGCAUCAUAGAAUCCAGCUAAAGGGGACCCUCGAACAAAGAGUUACAGCUCCAGGUUAAAGCAGGAGAUCAUCCACACCCACCAGAGCAGGAGCUUAACACCAGCAUCCAGGAGGAGAAGCAAUGUCACUCAGACCUGAGCUUGUAGAGGAGCCAUUCAGGAGGACUUCCUGGAGGAAGCUGUGUCUCUGCAGAUACGUGCAGGAUGAACACAAGUUCACCAGAUGGAAGUCAGGUAUUUGGAAAACAACCUGUCUUGCCUGUUAUUUCAGAUUAUUUUGCCAGGUAUGGAGAAAACUCACCAGAGCCCAGGGUGGCAUUUAGCUUAUACUUUUUAAAAUUGCAAACACACCAUAACAUUGGCCACCUUAACCAUUUUUAAGUGCACAGUUCCGUAGCAUUGAGUACAUUCAGACUCUUGUGCAAUGGUCCUUGUCAUCCAUCUCCAGAGCUCUCUUCAGCUUGCAAAGCUGAAACUCUGCCCAUUAAGUCCUAUCUCUCCAUCCUCCCCUCUCCUGCCCACCUGGCACACACCACUGAUGUCACAGCUCUGUAAAUCUGUCAACACUAGGAACCUCUUGGAAGUGAACUCAUACAGUAUGGGUGUCUUUGUGGCUGGCUUAUUUCACUGUGAUGUCCCCGAGGUCCAUCCAUGAUGGAGCAUGUGUCAGAGUCUCCCUCCUUUCUCAGGCAACGGUCCACCAUGUGGAUGGACCGUGCUUCCUUCCUCACUCACCGUCUGGGCUGCUUCCACCCUCUGGCUCUUGUGAACAGUGCUGCUGUGAUCACGGGUGUGCACAUGUCUCUUUGAGACCCACCUCCCAUUCUUCAGGGUAUGUACCCGAAGCUGAACUACUACAUCACACAGUAGUUUUAUUUUUAUUUUUCUGAGGUGUCUCUCUGCUGUUUUCUGCAGUGACAACUACGCUCCAACAAUAGCACAAGAGGAUUCCAGUUUCUAGCUGGACCAUUUGUGUAUAUGUGACUAUAUCGGUGGCCUUUCCAGGAAAGAGCCCCAGGCCUCCCAGAAAACCGCCAUGUCUCCUCAAGAAUCACACUCCAGAAAAAGCAGAGACUUUCAUUUUUAAAAAUUUAAUAAAUCACAUUUUCUUCGGUUUCCUAUUCAUACCCAUAGAAGCCACAAACAUGUUUUCUCCGAUUUUGUUUGACAAUAUUCAUUUGUGCAAAUUGUAUUUCACAAUGACUCAUGCACAGAAGCCAUUUAGUCUCUGACCACCAACCAUGGGACAUGACUAUGAUAUUGACUUGUCUCAGAGGUGGCUGUCACCAGGGGAGAUUCCCCAUGUCCCAGUAUGCCUGGCUGGGGUCCUCCAGCCAGGACCAACCUGGCAAGACAGAGUUCCAGCAGACCUGCCGCCUCCACAGGCUCUUCCUUGAGAGCCCUUAAGAACACAGGUGGGUACAAAGUGCACAGAGAUGUGUUCUCACCACCAGAAACACGGACAAGUGUGGUUUGGGGCCAUAGAGAAGAAGGUUCAGUUUUCUGAAUGUCUGUGUCGCCCUCAAAUUCAUGUGCUGACACCUUAGGAGGCAGGCCUUUGAGAGGUGAUCAGGCCGAGGGGGAGCCUCCUGAAUGGGGCUAGGGCCCUGGCAAAGAGGCCAGGGGGCCUUUGUCCCGCCAUCCUGUGAGCCGAGAGCCCUCGCCUGCCAGGGCCGCGUCUGCUGGUGCCUUGAUCUUAGACUUCCCAGUCUCCAGACCUUGAGCAAUACAUAUCUGAUGUUUACGAAAUUAACUGGUAUUUUGUUUUAGCCGCUUUAAGGGAAUAAGGCAGAAGGUCGGGGAAAUGUCCAUGUCUGGCUUUUCAAGGAAAACCAACCACUGGUGCCUCCAGGGGACUCCUCCAAAGCCUAAGCUGGCUGUUUCUGUCUUUCCUCAUUGGGAAAUGAGCCAGCCAAGGUCAGACUCCACCACGUCAUGAUCUCAGCUCAAGCACCUCUUAAAAUAAAGUGCCUCUGCUCUAGGCACUGCUCUCUGUGGAGUGACCCAGGGAGUAAUUCCCUUGACGAGCGGAGAAAGGGACACUCCAGAGAAGGGCUCCUCUCUGCCUCCUUUGAAGGUGGGCCUCAGGGAACCCUGCCAACCUCCACCAGUAGAGCCACUCUGCUAGGCAGCCCAGGAGAGGGGGAGUUGAGAAAAGCUGGGCCCUAAUUAAAUGCAGCCCCAGGCAUGGUGGAGCAAGGGCCCUGAAGCAGAACUAACAAAAGUCACCGUGUUUUGUGAAUAAGGAAGAGGGACUUGAGUGGCCCUUGGCUCCAGCUUUGUACCUUCCCUUGCACCCACUGUUGAGCAGUAGAGAGAGGUGCUCAGAGCACAGUGUGGUGGAAAUUAGAGGCUGUCCCUCCCACUAGCUGUGUCUGCACAUUUUAAGGCUUUUGCUGUGUACACCAGAUAGUCCUUCAGAGUGUGCUGCCAACUAAUUGCACUGUGGAGAGCAGGCUGGGCAGUCCCCACGUCACUCUAUGUGGCGUAGUACAGCGGAGCCCAGAGUCACUCCGUUUUGAAAAGCAGCUGUUUGCCAUGAGCUACUGCGUUUUGAAUGCAAGUACUGAGGCAGAAUGACUUGGGAACUUAUCUGGGCAGGAAGAUAAUCACCAGAUGUUGGAUGUACAAAGAACUUAUCCAAAAGAAUAAUCCAGGCAGGCCCCGUGAAGCACACCAGUCAUUCUACGUCUCAGGAGGCUGAGCAGGAGGACAUGAGUUCAAAACCAGCCUCAGCAAAAGCAAGGCACUGAGCAACUCAGUGAGAUCUGUCUCUAAAUAAAAUGCAAAAAAAAAAAAAAAAAAAAGUAGUGCUGGGAAUGUGGUUCAGUGGUCAAGUACCCCUGAGUUCAAACCCCAGUACCAAAAAAAGAAUAACCCCCUGCUGUGCAGCAUAAUCAUGUGGAACAAAGUACGCUAAUCGUGUUACUAAUCAAAGAUUGCCAGCUAUAGAAUUAUUGGAUUAAGUCAGAAGCACAUGAACAUAUGGGCAUAUCGACUCCAUAUCAAGAACAUGAGGCUGGUGAGCUUAUCAGACACAUCAGGCCACCAAAUGAUGCAAAGCCCUCACCUGCAACAUGCAGCGGUAUGGUGGCACACACAGGCCCAUCAUCUCAUCAGAAUCCCUGGGAAAUGCAGCUCACUCCCAACUCUGUCCCCGGGCUUCAGUUCAGCUCCAUCUCUCUCCUCUGCGAGGCCCUCCUUGUAACUGCCUGCCGUCUGGACCCUCUCCCGGGACAAGCCUCUUGACUCUUGAAACCCUGUGACUACCCUAACACCUCUUAGCUGUUCUGUGGCCUAUCCAUCAUUGGGUAAAUUGUGACUUGAGUGUUACCGAGAUUAGUAAUUGAGACUGGAAUGGAA